AUUCUACUACCUCCGUUGCACAAUACAUGCCUUCUAUUUGUCAAAAUAUAUAUGUAUCUAGACAUGUUUUAGUAUAUAGGUACAUCCAUUUUUGGACAAAUGGAAGUCAAGUAUUUUGGAACGGAGGGAGUACACA
rnacentral:pre_miRNA from 1 species